CGGUUCCCCGCCUCCGCCAAGGCACCCGGUUCCCCGCCUCCGCCAAGGCAACCGGUCCCCCCCCCCCCCGCCCCCCGCUACGGCACCCAGUCCCCCGACGGCUCUCGGUCUCCUCCACGCCGAGCCUCGGAGAGCAGGGGCUUUGCUUUUCCGGCUGAGGUGUUCAAUAAACAUCUCUUAAACAAAGGAGUGCGCAAGUGAGAUAAUAUAAGACAGAAUCUCGCUCUGUUGCGCAGGCUGGAGUACAGUGGUGUGAUCCGGGCUCACUACAACCUCUGCCUCCCAGGUUCAAGCGAUUCUUCUGCCUGGGACUACAGAUGAAGAAACUGAGGCCUUGAGGAGGCAAGUAAUAUAUCCGCAAAGAGGGGCUGUCCUGCCUGGGAAGAUGAGCGACACAUGGGUUUUCCGAGAAGCGACACAUCUGAAGAGUGAAAGACCACCAUCAUGAAGGCUUCGCAGCAUCGGUGCAGGUGCCAGGAAGGGGCAUCAGUGACCAGUGGAGACUGUGCUGAGGUCAAGUGGAGUGGGAAGCUCCUGCAGUCUGAAGGAAUCAUGUGGGGAUGCCCAACUAUACAACAAAGAGUUGCCAAACAUUUCUCUGGAGCAAAUAAAUGGUGUGAUGGAUGGAACUAACUGGAUCACCAACCUGUGAGAGAUGGCUGGUUCACUGGCCUUGGCCUCCUCGGGCCAUGACAUUAAUUCACUGGGUAAGGCUCUGGUGGCCCAGCCAGAGAUUCUUCCUUUGCUGCUUCCAAGUGAGAAGCUCUUCCCUCUGGCCUUGGCCUGGAAACUGAACUCACUUUCCUUUGAGCUCCUCCACCCUCCAAAGUCAAGUCUUAACAAAACAACAUAUUCCCCAUG
ensembl:lncRNA novel transcript